rnacentral:tRNA from 1 species
GCCUGGCUGGCUCAGUCAGUAGAGCAUGUGAUUCUUGAUCUCAGGGUCAUGAGUUUGAGCCCCAUGCUGGGUG